rnacentral:rRNA from 1 species
AGAUUGAACGCUGGCGGAAUGCUUUACACAUGCAAGUCGAACGGCAGCACGGGGGCAACCCUGGUGGCGAGUGGCGAACGGGUGAGUAACACAUCGGAACGUGCCCAGUCGUGGGGGGAUAACUACGCGAAAGCGUAGCUAAUACCGCAUACGAACUCUGGUUGAAAGCGGGGGACUCGCAAGAGCCUCGCGCGAUUGGAGCGGCCGAUGGCAGAUUAGGUAGUUGGUGGGGUAAAGGCUCACCAAGCCGACGAUCUGUAGCUGGUCUGAGAGGACGACCAGCCACACUGGGACUGAGACACGGCCCAGACUCCUACGGGAGGCAGCAGUGGGAAUUUGGACAAUGGACGCAAGUCUGAUCCAGCCAUUCCGCGUGCAGGAUGAAGGCCCUGGUUGUAACUGCUUUGUACGGAACGAAAGGCGUACUUUCUAAUGACAGUACGCGCUCAGU